GUGGGGAAUCUUCCGCAAUGGACGAAAGUCUGACGGAGCAACGCCGCGUGAGUGAUGAAGGUCUUCGGAUUGUAAAGCUCUGUUAAUCGGGACGAAAGAGCCUAGUGUGAAUAAUGCUAGGAAGUGACGGUACCGGAAUAGAAAGCCACGGCUAACUACGUGCCAGCAGCCGCGGUAAUACGUAGGUGGCAAGCGUUGUCCGGAAUUAUUGGGCGUAAAGCGCGCGUAGGCGGAUCUGCCAGUCUGUCUUAAAAGUUCGGGGCUUAACCCCGUGAUGGGAUGGAAACUACAGAUCUAGAGUAUCGGAGAGGAAAGUGGAAUUCCUAGUGAAGCGGUGAAAUGCGUAGAUAUUAGGAAGAACACCAGUGGCGAAGGCGACUUUCUGGACGAAAACUGACGCUGAGGCGCGAAAGCCAGGGGAGCGAACGGGAUUAGAUACCCUUGUAGUCC
rnacentral:rRNA from 1 species